rnacentral:piRNA from 1 species
UUCCCUAGAAAAGGUCCCUUCAAUGC